GCAUAAGGAGUCUUGGAGCUAACGGAAGGCGAAGGACCUCGUUAUCUUGCUUUUAUCCACCACUUCUUCGCAUAGAUUCUUCCCUAGCCCCGAGCUAGAGGUCGUCGCACAGCUGACAUUUGGAGUACUUGGUAGAGACGCACUGACUGGUGUUUCCCGUUAAAACAAUGUUAUGACUCAUGGACUCAGCCGGUACUGGUGACUCGGACACCACCGGACCCAGACCUAUCGUAUCUGAUGACCUCCCAUCUUCGGAGCAUGAGGUGUAUACAUCUGAUUUUACCAGCACGGACGAUGACGAUUUCCAGCCCUUCGCACUACCCGAGGGUGCUGAUGAGCCUGUAGAUGGCCCUCCUGCUGAGUACCUACCUCUAGUAGUGAUUCCGGCUCCUAUACCUUUAGCCGUUUAUCCAGCAUAUGACUUACUACUUAACGCCGAGGCUGAAGGCGAUAUCGAUCUGUUU
rnacentral:lncRNA from 1 species